UACGUAGGGAGCAAGCGUUGUCCGGAAUCAUUGGGCGUAAAGCGCGCGUAGGUGGCCUCAUAAGUCCGCUGUGAAAGUCAAAGGCUCAACCUUUGAAAGCCGGUGGAUACUGUGAGGCUAGAGUACGGAAGAGGCGGGUGGAAUUCCUGGUGUAGCGGUGGAAUGCGCAGAUAUCAGGAGGAACACCAAUAGCGAAGGCAGCUCGCUGGGACGUUACUGACACUGAGGUGCGAAAGCGUGGGGAGCAAACAGG
rnacentral:rRNA from 1 species